CACAAAAUUCUUUAAAUUUGAAUCUCAAAUCAAAAGUCAUUUCUUUUAUCCAUCAUUUCUAAGCGCGUUCAAGAAGUCACCGACAAAUUUUCUGCUUUGACAUCGAGUGAUUGACUGCUAUUCAUUGCAAAUGGCAGUUAGAGACUCAGUUGACAUUUUCGAUAAUUUGUUUGAGUCUUCUGCGAAUAUUGUGGCAAGCAAUUAUUGGCUCAUAGCGAUUGCAGUCAUCUUGUAUUCGUCUAGGGCUUUAUAUGGGAAGGUGAACCUGUCAAGAUCCACGUGGUCAAUAUCCGGGAACAAUGCUGAAAACGACCAGUCUCGCAAGAGAAAAAGUCUUAUUCAAAGCUCACGAAUGAUGGCAACGAGGCAUUGAGGCGAUUUUAGGGAGUCGUAAGAUAAUUUCAACGGUCUACAUUUACUUACGUGAGAUUACUUAUGUUAGAUAUCAUAAUAUACUUAAACCAUUGUUGCUGUUGAAAUGAUUUGAAAAAUAAAUUUAUAAAAUUUA